rnacentral:rRNA from 1 species
AUUGAACGCUGGCGGCAUGCCUUACACAUGCAAGUCGAACGGCAGCACGGGAGCAAUCCUGGUGGCGAGUGGCGAACGGGUGAGUAAAGUAUCGGAACGUGCCCAGUCGUGGGGGAUAACGUAGCGAAAGUUACGCUAAUACCGCAUUCGAUCUAGGGAGGAAGGCGGGGGUUGGUAAGACCUCGCGCGAUUGGAGCGGCCGAUAUCAGAUUAGGUAGUUGGUGGGGUAAAGGCUCACCAAGCCGACGAUCUGUAGCUGGUCUGAGAGGACGACCAGCCACACUGGGACUGAGACACGGCCCAGACUCCUACGGGAGGCAGCAGUGGGGAAUUUUGGACAAUGGGCGCAAGCCUGAUCCAGCCAUGCCGCGUGCAGGAUGAAGGCCUUCGGUUUGUAAGCUGCUUUUGUACGGAACGAAAAGGUUUGACUUAAUACGUUGGACUCAUGACGGUACCGUAAGAAUAAGCACCGGCUAACUACGUGCCAGCCGCCGCCGUAA